rnacentral:rRNA from 1 species
CAGUAACCGCAGGAAAAGAAAACAAAAGUGAUGCCGUGAGUAGAGGCGAUCGAAACCGGUAUAGAACAAACCGAAUUUGCUCAGAAAUGAGCACAAUAUGUGGUGUUCGGACUUGUGUCUAUCUUAGCACAUGAAUUUGAAGUUCCCUGGAAAGGGACACUAUAAAGGGUUAUAGUCCCGUAAAAGUAAGUGUGAAAGAUAAUGGCAAGUAUCCAGAGUAGGGCUGAUUGAAUUUUCAGUCUGAAUACGGGAGAUAUUUACUCCUAAUUCUAAACAUAACUUGAGACCGAUAGCGUAUUAGUACUGUGAAGGAAAACUGAAAAGAAUCCUUAAAAGGAGAUGAAAAAAACCUGAACCCAAGCAGCUAUAGUUAGAUGGCGAAUGCCUUUGAAAAAAGGAAUAAACCAUCGUCCGUUUUGAAAAACGGGGCAGGGAGUUUGUGGUAGUGGCGAGACUAAGUGCUUCAAGCACGCAGUCAAAGCGAAAGCAAUAGCGUCUAUGUACUUCUGUACAGAUGCGCAACGUAUGAAAGUGCGUUUAGUCACUGCUUCAAGAUCCGAAGCAAGAUGAUCUAGUCCUGGGCAGGGUGAAGUCGCGCGAAAGCGUGGUGGAGGCCCGUACCGUUGUUGGUUCAAACCACUCGAGUGACCUGGGAUUAGGGGUGAAAAGCCAAUCGAAUCUUGCAAUAGCUGAUUCCUCUCGAAAUGAGUGUUAGCUCAGCCUGGGUAUUAUCCAAUUAGUGAGGUAGAGAUACUGAUUACGGAGUCAAGGGGAGAAAUCCCCAGCUUCGUUGUCAAACUCCGAAUGCAUUAAUUGGUAUGCCUGGAGUGAGACUGCCGGAGUAAGUUUGGUAGUCGAAAGGGAAACAACCCAGACUAAAUUUAAGGUCCCUAAAAGCAACUAAGUGUAGAAAGUGGUUUUUGAUUUAAGACAGUGGGAAGGUAGGCUUAGAAGUAGCCACCCUUUAAACAACGUGUAAAAGCGGACCCAUCAAAAUCAGAAGCGCUGAAAAUGGACGGGACUAAGUUGCUUACCGAGGUUUUAGAUUUACAUUUUAUAUGUAAGUGGUAGAGAGGCGUCCUGUGUGGGCAGAAGUAUCUUCUUAAGAAGGUAUGGACCGCUCAGGAAUGAAGAUCCUGUCGGAAGUAGCAUAUUAGUCGGAUGAGAAUUCCGACCGCCUAAAGGGAAAGGGUUUCCCAGUAAAGCUUAUCUGCUGGGAGUUAGUCGAUCCUAAUUCCAACCCUAAUCAGAGUUGGGAGAAAGGGAAUACGGUUAAUAUUCCGUAACUAAUUAUUAUUUGCCUUACCUGUUCUUGGACACCUCUGGAUAGUCUUAGCACAAUUGUCGUUGUGUUUAACUGUAGAAUCAUGGGGAGUAUCGUCAAGAUGAGAACCAUGUGAAUGCAGGAAUAAGUCCUCAUUAGAGGGUUAUAGAUGAUUCCAAGGGUUCAUAAAAACUCGAACAGUUAGAAUUUUAAUUACUCGUACUCAGAACCGACACAGGUUCCCUGGCUGUAGAAGCCAUGGCGUUCGGACUAAUCAACUUUAGGGAAUUCGGCAAGUUAGCCAGGUAUCUUCGGUAUAACUGGUGCCUGAGCAGGGAUGCUUAGGUUGCAAUAACAAGGGAAACCCGACUGUUUAACAAAAACGUAGUUGACUGCUAAAUCGAAAGGUCUUGUAUAGUCAACGAAUCGUGGCCACUGGCGGUGUGUCAUAUCAGGUUCCAACCUGAAGAAGCCCCGCUGUAGGCCGGCCCUAACUCUGAGGGUCUUAAGGUAGCGUAAUCCCUUGCCAACUAAAUAUUGGCCUGCAUGAUAGAUUAACGAGGUUUCCGCUGUCCCAAAGUUGAUUCCGGCGAACCAACAUUUCUGGUGAUUAGGCCAGAGACCUUCAGUGGGAAGAGUAGACCCCGUAGAGCUUUACUACAGUUUGUUGUUGCGGUAUGUUUGUAGUUGUACAGCGUAGGCAGGAGACAUCGAGACUUUGACGUCAGUUAAAGUGGAGUCAUCAAUGUAACACUGCCCUUCCGCGUACGUACUGCUUAUAUUGCUUUAUUGCGAUAGACAUCAGCAGAUAGGUAGUUUGACUGGGACGGUACGCCCUCGAAAGGAUAUCGAGGGUCCUCAAAGGUUAACUCAAUCCGGUCGGAAAUCGGAUGAAGAGUGUAAAUGCAAAUGUUAGCUUGAUUGGAAAUCGAACAAUAAGAUUCCCAAAGACGAAAGUCUGAAUUAGCGAUACGCACGUUGGCGUAAAUAGCUGCGUGUGACAUGAGAAAAGCUACCUCGGGGAUAAUGGUGUCGUAGCGGGUGAAAGUUCGUAUUGACCCCGCGUGUUGCGGCGUCGCUGUCGGCUUGCCCUCACCUGGCUGUGCAGCAGCAGCCAAGGGUACUGGAGUUCACAGAUUAAAAGGGCACAUUAGCUGGGUUCAGAACGGCGUGAGCCAGUUUGGUCUAUAUCUGCUGAAGGUGUUGUCGUCUGAGAGGAAGGGAGUUUAAGUACGAAAGGAACAUACUCUCGAAGCCACUAGUCUACCAGUUGUCUGACAAGGCAGUGCUGGGUAGCCACGCUUUAAUGGAUAAGCCCUGAAAGCAUCUAAGGGCCAAGCCAUCCUCAAAAAUAGAC